rnacentral:rRNA from 1 species
CACAUGCAAGUCGAGCGGUAACAUUUCUAGCUUGCUACUUUGCUGACGAGCGGCGGACGGGUGAGUAAUGCUUGGGAACAUGCCUUGAGGUGGGGGACAACAGUUGGAAACGACUGCUAAUACCGCAUAAUGUCUACGGACCAAAGGGGGCUUCGGCUCUCGCCUUUAGAUUGGCCCAAGUGGGAUUAGCUAGUUGGUGAGGUAAUGGCUCACCAAGGCAACGAUCCCUAGCUGGUUUGAGAGGAUGAUCAGCCACACUGGAACUGAGACACGGUCCAGACUCCUACGGGAGGCAGCAGUGGGGAAUAUUGCACAAUGGGCGAAAGCCUGAUGCAGCCAUGCCGCGUGUGUGAAGAAGGCCUUCGGGUUGUAAAGCACUUUCAGUCAGGAGGAAAGGGUGUGAGUUAAUACCUCACAUCUGUGACGUUACUGACAGAAGAAGCACCGGCUAACUCCGUGCCAGCAGCCGCGGUAAUACGGAGGGUGCGAGCGUUAAUCGGAAUUACUGGGCGUAAAGCGUACGCAGGCGGUUUGUUAAGCGAGAUGUGAAAGCCCCGGGCUCAACCUGGGAACUGCAUUUCGAACUGGCAGACUAGAGUGUGAUAGAGGGUGGUAGAAUUUCAGGUGUAGCGGUGAAAUGCGUAGAGAUCUGAAGGAAUACCGAUGGCGAAGGCAGCCACCUGGGUCAACACUGACGCUCAUGUACGAAAGCGUGGGGAGCAAACGGGAUUAGAUACCCCGGUAGUCCACGCCGUAAACGAUGUCUACUAGAAGCUCGGAACCCCGGUUCUGUUUUUCAAAGCUAACGCAUUAAGUAGACCGCCUGGGGAGUACGGCCGCAAGGUUAAAACUCAAAUGAAUUGACGGGGGCCCGCACAAGCGGUGGAGCAUGUGUUUAAUUCGAUGCAACGCGAAGAACCUUACCUACACUUGACAUACAGAGAACUUUCUAGAGAUAGAUUGGUGCCUUCGGGAACUCUGAUACAGGUGCUGCAUGGCUGUCGUCAGCUCGUGUUGUGAGAUGUUGGGUUAGUCCCGCAACGAGCGCAACCCCUAUCCUUAGUUGCUAGCAGGUAAUGCUGAAACUCUAAGAGACUGCCGGUGAUAACCGGAGAAGGUGGGGGACGACGUCAAGUCAUCAUGGUCCCUACGUGUAGAGCUUAACAACAGUGCCUCACAAAUGCCA